GGCUCCCUUCGGCAGGCUCAGGAGCGUCGGACUCAUAAUCCGAGGGUUGAAGGUUCGAGUCCUUCCGGAUCCACCA
rnacentral:tRNA from 1 species